rnacentral:rRNA from 1 species
AACGUAGGAGGCAAGCGUUAUCCGGAGUUACUGGGCGUAAAGAGUGCGUAGGCGGAUUGAUAAGUGGGUGGUGAAAGCGCCCGGCUAAACCGGGCGAGGUCCAUUCAGACUGUCAGUCUAGAGGCGGAUAGAGGGGUGCGGAAUUCCGGGUGUAGCGGUGAAAUGGGUAGAGAUCCGGAGGAACACCAGUGGUGCAAACGGCGCCCUGGGUCCGAACUGACGCUGAAGCACGAAAGCGUGGGGAGCGAACGGG